GGAAGGGUGGCCGAGUGGUUUAAGGCACCGGUCUUGAAAACCGGCGUGGUUAAUAGCCACCGUGAGUUCGAAUCUCACCCCUUCCGCCA
rnacentral:tRNA from 1 species